CCUACGGGCGGCAGCAGUGGGGAAUAUUGGGCAAUGGGCGCAAGCCUGACCCAGCAACGCCGCGUGAAGGAAGAAGGCUUUCGGGUUGUAAACUUCUUUUCUCAGGGACGAAGCAAGCGACGGUACCUGCGGAAUAAGCCACGGCUAACUACGUGUCAGCAGUCGCGGUAAUACGUCGGUGGCAAGCGUUAUCCGGAUUUACUGGGUGUAAAGGGCGUGUAGGCGGGGACGCAAGUCAGAUGUGAAAACCACGGGCUCAACCUGUGGCCUGCAUUUGAAACUGUGUUUCUUGAGUACUGGAGAGGCAGGCGGAAUUCCUGGUGUAGCGGUGAAAUGCGUAGAUAUUAGGAGGAACACCAGUGGCGAAGGCGGUCUGCUGGACAGCAACUGACACUGAGGCGCGAAAGCGUGGGGAGCAAACAGGAUUAGAUACCCGAGUAGUC
rnacentral:rRNA from 1 species